GUUUCCGUAACACCUCUCUUCUACCUCUUGCUAAUUGCAGUUGGCGGGUCAAUUUCCACAAGGCUUUAAAAAUUCCCUCCCCUAAGCCUAAGAAUCUGCAACCUCUCAAAUGUAAAAUCUUCUUGGACCCAUUUGGGAAAUCGUUUGGUUUGGGUGAAAAAGGGGAGGAUACAAUUUGCCUCAAAUUGUUUUUUGUGCAAAUGCCAUUAAUGUGUUAGAGUUGUAUGGCGGUAAGCUGUCCCAUCCAAGAAUUGGUGUGCAGUUGUCUUUGAGAAAAUUGUGUCUGGUGGGUGUUUAUGCAGAUGAUCAAAUGAUUGAGAAUCUCUUCGCUAGGUGCCUGUUGAUUGAGUAUCUGACAUUCAAUCAUCUAAAGGCUUUAAAAGCCUAGAGUUAUUUAGUCUUAACAAACUCCAUGAAGUCAAGGUAAGUAACAAUGAUGAACUCAAAAAGGUGGAGAUCAAAGCAUUGAAUGUUCAUUCAGUAACUAUUACUGAUAUGAAAACAUGUGUGAUCAAUAUAGCCUCUUGUGAGAAUCUGAAAUGCUUAUUAUUAUCGAAGCUUUCAAUAACGGAUGAUUGGUUAUGUAAUGUAAUUUCAGAUUUUUCGCUCCUCUUAAGCAUAACUCAUUGUCAUAAGCUGAGGAGUAUCAAAAUUUCAAAUCCUAGUCUUAAGGAAUUGAUCAUCAAUGGAUCCAAUUUGGUUGAAGUAAAGCUUGAGACUCCUAAUUUAAGUAUAUUCAAAUUUAGGGGUCAUCCAAUAUCCUUUACUUCAAAUGCUAUGGCUUUGUCAAAAACUGAUCUCUACGUCUAUGGUCAUAGGGAUAUUCAGGAUUCAGUUAAGUGUAUUCAACUUCUUGCAAACUUUAAGCAGUGUUCUAAAGUGCUGAAUUUGCAACAUUGCACGGGUGCGGUUUUCACUGUUCCUAGAGAAUGAAGGCAAAUCUUACAUCCCCCUUUAUGUGGUGUCAAACAUUUGAACCUCAAAAUAGAUGGUGAUCUCUUGGACUUUAGAAUUCGCGAACUAGUGGAUGGCUUGCUCUGGCUUUCACCUCAUAUAGAGACUAUAUCGAUGAGUUUUCAUUUAGUUUACAGUCAUAAGUAUUCUUUUCAGAUAACAGAUGUCCGGAUAUAUUACAUUAAUGAAUUCAGGGUUUGGUAUAUGCUGUGAGGUUCUAUUAGGAGAUUUUGAUUGAUUAACCAUUUUUGUUUGUUUUACUAUGUUUAUGCCUUUCAUGUUAAAGGAGGUAAAGGUUUUCUCAAAUAGUAGAUCUUGAUGUGAUAAAUUAAAACGUAAAUGAUAGUUAAUUUAGAUAAUAAAAAUGCUAAUUUUUGAAAUCAACAUAUUCUAAUUAUGCAUUACCUACUGUAAAUAUAACAGUAAUUGAAUUCUUUUCUGUUUCUUAUCUAGAAGAAAAUGGGAAAAAGAAAUUGGAUCCUAUAAUAAUGUCCUUUUUGUGGAUAAGAACUAUUGUUUAUUGCCAUUGAUUUUUGUUUCAGUUCUUAUACAAGGAGCAGCUUACUCACGAAGGAGAGACUCCUAGUUGUUGCCAAUCCCUUCGCUUCUCAUGUUGGGAGAAUUGUCUUAAGGGAGUUAAGAUUGAACAUACUUGGACAUCUAACAGUCCACCUGCUUAUUUAGACAGGUUCUCUUUUGAGAAGAAGACAUUGGAGAAGCAUACUUACGUAGAAAGGUUCUAUUUGCACGACAAGAUCUGGGAUACGCUUAAUCAUCUUUAUUUGAAUUUGAGGAAUACGUAUAGUUAUCUGUUUUAUGGUGAUAUAUAAUUAUCUGUUUGAUGUCAGUAGAGACUAGAAAUUCUGGUUUCAUUAUCGAAUUCUCAUGUAAUAUUGGGUAGCUUUGAAAAGGUAUCGGUUUUCAACUUAAACUUUGUGAAGGCAUACCAGUUUGACAUAUAUUGUAUGUAGCAGUAGCUUGUAAUAUAAUUGUACUGAUGUGACAAGGAUGCUUGGCCUGGCGUUGAUAUUUACCCAAUGGUGGUUGUA